AGAAACGUGCCCGAAUGCAACAAGGACUACUUUGAUAGAGUACACCACAGGGGCUUAACUCCCCUCGUUUCCU
rnacentral:tRNA from 1 species